CUCAGCCAAUGAGCCGUCUCGGCCAAAAACGUGACUUCACGUUAUAUGAGGAAAUAUCUAUUUGAGAUACAACUUUAAGGAAAUAAGGUUAUCUUGUCCAAUCCCAGUCCGUCUUGUAACUCAAACCACAUUCAGGGCCGCUUCCACCACCAGUGACAACAUGGCAAUGCCAAUGGAACUUGAGCUGAAGCAUGUGGAGCUGAGAGCUGGAGACCAGUUCAAAGUACAGGGGAGGAUUAUGGAUUAGAAUGAGGUUCCAGAUCGACCUGGCACUGCACUUUAACCCACGUUUCAAUGAUGACACUGAUGGCACUGUGCUCGUGUGCAACUCAAAGAUUGCCGGCUGCUGGGGGGAUGAGAAGAGAGAGAUCCACAAUCCACUCCAACGGGGUUCUAUAUUCAAGGUGUGAAAAUGUAGGUUGGAAAGAUGGAGGGAGGUGGGUUUGAUCCUGACUAGACAAAUGGAGAAUCUUGGUCAGUGUUUCAGGUGUUCAAUAUAACAGAAACAAUUAGGGCCUAUGUCCAUGUAAUCUCCUGCUAGUAUCGUUUUAAGGAAACGGUGCAGUGUAUUGGCGCUAGUCUUUAGUCCAGCUUGUUCGUUGCAAUUGGCCAUGUGGGUGAAUGUGCUACAACACUAAUGAUGUAAACAAAUGGGGUUUCUCCCUCUCAAGAUUGUACUGAAGCUGAUGGGUGACAUGUUUGAAGUGGAGAUGCCUGAUAGACAGGAGAUCCAGUUCCCCAAUCGUGAGGGCCUAGAUGUCAUUACCUACAUUCGUAUCAAAGGAGACCUCAAACUUAUUUAUUUUAAAAUCUACUAGACCCCAAUAUGAGGGGUGAUUUAGUUUGCUUCUGUCCUAACCCAUUGAUCUAUGACAUUUAUCAAAUCAUUGUUCUAAUAUAUGUAUUAGUGAACUGUUGGACAUAUUAAAUAUGUAUUUGGGUUGACCACAGUCUAUCAUUGUUUAUAUAUUUGUUCCCAUAGUACGGUAUAUUUGUUGCAAUAAUAUUCACAAUCACAUGUACACUAAACACAAGGGUAAUAUGAGGAUGAGGUUAUGGUAUUAUCUGUCAAUCAUUUUGAUUCCUUUACUACUACAAAAAGUGUUGCACCCACAUCUUGGCCAGGUGAAAUAUUGGAGUCAAUAUUGAAUUAUAUUGGUGAGAAAGAGCAAACUAUGUCAUAAUUUCAGAGCAUUUAUUGAGUAUUUGCUUACGGUAAUACAAUACAAAUAGUACAAGGCUUUAUCACUUGACAGGAAAUGUGAUAAAUUGUUCACACUCAAAACAUCUGCAUAUACAUUUUUGAUCCCAAAAUGAGGCCAAUAACUAGGCUUUUUCCUGUUAGUCUAUCAGUUUGAGUUAAAUGAUUGAAUCAAAAUAAGAUGUGUAGUAGGCCUAGCUGAUUAGAAUAGUAAAAGCGGUGCUCUAUUGUACAUUGCCAAGAGGUUUUUCAGUUUCUGACUAUGUUCAUGUUUACAAUGUCAACAUGUUUAAAAUAUCAUGCUUGUGCCAUUAUGUUUGUAUGUUUUUACUAUUUGAGCUCCCCUUAGAUUUACUUUAAGCUUUCAAUAGCUUGCUGUUUUGUGAACUUCCUCCAUUCUAUUGGAAUUUCACCUCUGCCCUGGAAUUUUAGGUCAUAAUACCUUUCCAGAUCUUCUUGAAAUCGACAAACAAACCACUUCCAGUACGGAAGUUCAGAGAGGUCUGGUGUGAUGCUCCAAUCAGCAAAUCUUGGGCCAGCUUUUCUGUAUUCUUUCCAAAGAUAUUUAUCCUCUGAUUCAUGGGAUGGGUAAAACCGGCCAUUACUUGCUACUGAAGUUGUACAAAAAUCAAUGCUAAAUUCUACUGUGUUUCUGAAGUGUAUUCCUUUAAUUCCUUUAGAGCGAUGAAAGGGGACAUUGUGAUCAAUCGGUUUGUGCCCCUCCAUGGUGUUUGUGCAGAUGGCUUUACAGAAGGGACACUGUACCCAGCAGCAAUCACAAAAGUGUUUGAUCAGAAUCUCAUCUGGCCUCUCCCUGAACUGCUUCAUGGCCAGGAGUGAUACAUUGCUGAGGCUUCUGUUGAUCUCUAUGAUUCUGUUGGCGAGAUCUUUCCUUACCUCUUCUUCGAGGAAGUCAAAGUCAGUUAUGUCACAGAAAUCACUGAAAUGAUUUUCAGCAAAUUUCAGCUCAUCUUUUAGAGCACUGGAAAGCUCUCUAAGCCACAUGUUGGUGUCUCCAUUCUUGUUUUUGACUGUCUUUGUUGCUGUAUGCAAUGCAUGGCUCACACGCUGCUCUUUAGCUGUUAUGUUCCCUUCAAUCAAGGCAAGGACUUUGGACCUUUCUGUGAGCAUGUAUUUCUCUACAUCCUCUCUAAUAAAUUUCUCAAAGUGUUUCCGUGGGUUGUGAAUGUAGGUCAUGAACUUGUCAAAGUUCUCCUUCUCCGCCAGUGAUAUCAGGAUGUGUUUCUCCAUGUUAGACCUGUUUCCACUGAAUGGUGGGUGACUUAAUUGCAUUUCUCCAGCCAAGUCAAUGGCCGUCUGGUCAUAGACCGCCUGUACAAUCGAUUCUUUCAGUGUGUUGCAAAUUAACUCCCCAAGCACAGCUGCAGAUGAGGAACCUUUGCAGUAUCUCUUGAAAAUCUUGUUGUACUGUGGCCUCUUCUGCUCCAGGUAAGUAAGGGCAUCAUUGUUGCUUCUGAAUUUGCUAUGGGAAUCUGCUAACUUACUUCCUGCAAGCUCACACACAUGAAGUGAAAGAUCAAUCGUAAACUCCUUUUUGAAUGCAUAUUUUCUAAUCUUUGAUUCAAAUUCCUUCACGCUUUCUUUGACAUGAGUUGCUAUUUCUUGCAUGUAACUGUCAUUGUAUCCCAUCUUUUCUAUGGGCUUUGUCUCGAUUAUCAUCUGGCUUUGUUCGUCAACAUCAUUGGUGAAUUCUCUUAUCAAUUCAUGAUCUGUGUAUGUUAGAAUGUUGCUUGGACCAAUGUGGUCAAUUGUCUUGUUCUCUGGAGACUUAAACCCCCAAAAACUCUUAAAAGCACCCCACACAUUAUUUUUCUGAAAUUGGUCCUUGUUUGGCUUCCUUUGAGCAUCUCUUGAGUGCUGAUCGUCUUUAAAAAGAUCUUGGUGCUUGGAUACAAUUGCAUAGUUCGAAUAACUCCCCAAGGUACAAAUCUCACGGUACAUUCCGCAACUUUUCCGAUCAUGUACAAGAGACAAUUCAUAACCUAUCUCUCCAAGGAUACAAGUCACAUCAUCCAAUAUGUUUAUGUCCAUAAUGGAAGGUGUAUCAUUGGUCAACUCGGCAACCCACACCCCCCAAAGAGUAUUGAAUUCAUUCUCAAGUUGUUUUUCAUCCUUUGCCUUGUCCUUCAGUUUUGAGGCAAGUUCUUUGCUCUUUUGGAAGAGCUUGUUUUCAUACUGUGUCUUCUUGUCAUCCAGCUUUUUGCGCGCAUCCCUCUGCUGAAUAACCUCCUCUAACUUUCUUUUUGCUCCCUUCACAAGUUCAUCAUGAAACUCACACAUUUUGGUUUGAAAUCUCCCUCGCCACUGAAUCAACAUUUCUUUAUCUCUGUCUUCAUCAAAGUACUUUUCCAUUGAUUUGUUCACUUCUUCACGGGUCUUUCUCAUUUCUUCAACAAGGUUAUGUCUCUCAACCCUGUGAAGUUUUCCAUUUUCAAUUCGAUUGUGCAGUUGAUUUUCAAUGGUUAGCAUGGCACUCCUGAGAGCCCAGAUCCAUUUUCCAUACUGAAUCUCAAGUUUUCUGUAAACUGCAAUUUCUAGUGUGUUUUUGAAGCUGAACACAAAGUUUUCAUUCAGCAGUGCAUUCCAAAGGUCUUGGAUACUGCUUUUGAACUGUGAUAAUGUCAUGCCAAAAGACGUUGGUGUUUUAGAGAGGAUUGUUUUCCUUAGCUCCUGGACAUUCUCACUGUAGCAUGGGUUUGGUGGGGCCAUGGGUGGGCUGCCCUCCCACAGCUGGGAAAAGUAUUUCACAUCUCUUUGGAUGUCAAAUGCAAUGACAUCGCUGAAACACUCUGCAUUACUGUCCUCUUCUUUGGCAGCUAACUGGGUCAUCUCGUCUAGUUUGUCCUGUAAGCGCCUCUUUCCCUCCAUGUUUUUCUCUCCGGCCGUGAUGUCUCCAACAUUCUGGUGCACAAACACACAACUUGGAGACAGAUUAACUUUCUUCAUCCUCAUGAAGGCCUGAACAGCUAUCUGAAUGAUGUCCUGCAUCUCAGCAGGAUUCUCUCCAAAUAUGUUGAUCAAGGUCAUGUUUCCAAGGCCAAUGACAAAAGUUGCAAGUUCAUUGUCAUGGUGCACUGUUGCCUUUCCUGCCAACUCUAAAGCUCGAAGUCCCUCAGUGUCAACAACGAGAACAUAGUCAAACCUAAAGUCAUCUUUCAUCUCCUCUGUCACUUUCACCAGUUGCAUGAAAGCACCUCUGGUACACCUACCAGCACUUACUGCGAAUUGCAGUCCAAACAUUGCAUUCAGCAUUGUAGAUUUCCCAGUGCUCUGGAUUCCCAAAAUGGACAAAACAAAAACUCUCUGAUCUCCUAGUUUCUUGAUAACUUCAUCUAAAACCCCAUUAAUCCACAUCAGUGGCACAUGAGCUGCAUCACCAUCCAUUAGUUCCAUUGGGUGUCCCGAUAUCAUAAGUUCUGCCGCGAGCUCUGGAAGGUAAGACACGGUCACCUCACUUUCUCCUUUGCUUUGCCUGGCCACAGAUGCAUGGGCUUCAUAGAUCUGUCCCAUUUCCCUCAGAAUGUGUUCAAAUCCGAAGGUUGCUGCUUGCAGCUUCUCUGAUAUUUUUUCCAGCUCCAUUUGUCUCAUUUUCAGUUGCUCUGAUUUAUCAUGCUUCUUUUUCAAAGCCAGGACCUCGGACCACUUUUCAUCAUAUUUGUGAUGAAGGUCUGAGAGCUCAUCUGAGGACAGGUCAUCCAGUAGUAUCCCUACCCACUUGAGGAAAUAUGAUUUUUCUUUUUCUCCCAGAGAUCGUAGACUUGUGAUAAACAUCUGCAUGAGUUCAGUAAAGGCAACUUGAUGUUGAUGGUGUCGAAUUUGCAUCAUUUCAUGUUCUAUUUUACUUCUUUCCAUCUCUAGAUUCCCUUGGAGACGAUAAAGGUCUUUAUUUUUUUGACACCAAUCAUGCCACAGCCUACCUUGACAUGGAAGAAAUUCUUCUUUGAUCUUGGACAGUUCCAUUUCCUUUAGCAGAUCUGUUAUCUGCAGAGCAUUAGUCUUCCCUACUUGGCAAUCUUCAUCAUUCUCAUCUACUCUAAACCCUGAGUACUCUGCCAUGUCCUCAAGUUUGAAGGAGCAACAUGGUCUUGACAAAUGAUUUCUAAUGAUCCUUUUUAGUUCCUCAGACACAUCUGACUGGUUUCUGUCUCUCAAACCCAUUUUGUACUUUCCCUUUUUAAUUUCAGUUGCAACAGAAUCCUCUUCAGUGAGCAGACAUAUCAGAGGUUUAGAAGACUUGAACAGCUCCUGCACGAUUGCCAUACUUUUGUCGCCUUUUCCAAGACUUGGUAAAAGGAUAACAUUGACUGAGGCUUUUUCAAUCAGUCUGUCACGCUGAAUUUCUUUCGCAAUUGCGUCACCAUGGAGAUUACAGAAUGCAACACAAUCAGUGAAAAUAUCAUUGGGCUUCCCAGCAGGACAAUACCAUGCAAUCUCUACCACCCCAUCCAUUAGGAGGCAGGUUUUACUGCUUCCUGGACAGUGUCUGUGGAAGAAUGUGCUGUGACGUUGGUUGAUCAGGUUGCUCAUCAGCUGGGAUUUAGAUGAGGACACAGAACCAAGCCUAAAGAAUGACACCAUUGGUGUUUCUGCCUUGUAAAUAGGCAUACUUUGGCUGGUGACUAUAUUAGAGUCAUUGGUGGACUUCCAGGUUUUUCUGAUUUGUCGAAAUGUCCACAAAGGGCAUUCAAUCUCUUUGGUGAAUGGAUUUGGCACAAGCAAAGGCAAGGCAUACUGACACAAGGACAGCUUUGUGACCAUGAACUGCCGAAGGAAACUGUCUGAACAGUGAAACACUGCCAUCUGGACGUCCAUUGGGUGAACAUGCGUGUUCCUCUUUAAAUCACCAGAGACUGUGUUCUUGUUGAAAAGGGCAUCGAAGGCACUUUCUUCUGUUUCUGCAUUAUCAUUUCUGUUGUCAUUUGCAUCAUGCAUCUCACUAUUCUCAUCUCUUACAGGAAUGUACCUGGCUCUGUAGUCCAGCAUCAAUAACCUUUGUAGGAAAGUAUGAGCAAGUUUGUUCUCUGUUUGGGGUUCAUGUUGAUGUUGAGUAGAAGAGCCAAUGUUCAGGAAGUCUGCAGUUGUCAACUUAUCUUGAUAUUUAUCUUGAAGGUGAAGU